rnacentral:ncRNA from 1 species
CACGAACGGGUAGUGAUGAUCCGCCGGGCGCACCUGGUCGCCAUAGCCCGGCGGGGAGCAGAGGCGAAACCGGGCCCGUCCUAG